rnacentral:rRNA from 1 species
UACAGAGGUCCCAAGCGUUGUUCGGAUUCACUGGGCGUAAAGGGUGCGUAGGUGGUCGGGUAAGUCUGAUGUGAAAUCUCCGAGCUUAACUCGGAAAUGGCAUUGGAUACUAUUCGGCUAGAGGGUUUGAGUGGGGACUGGAAUACUUGGUGUAGCAGUGAAAUGCGUAGAUAUCAAGUGGAACACCAGUGGCGAAGGCGAGUCCCUGGAAAACUCCUGACACUGAGGCACGAAAGCUAGGGGAGCAAACAGG